GCUGCAGAAGACAACAUGUCAAGGCCGGGGAGGAAGAGGAGAGAGGACAUAUGGGGAAAUUUUUAUAUUUGACGUAAAAGAUAACAAGACGCAGUGUAAGACAUGCAGCGCGAGGAUUAUGGGGAAAAACACAACAAACUUGAAGCGACAUUUACAGUCAAAUCCCCCCGAAAUCCACACACAGGGGGCCGAUUUGGACCCAGGGACCUUCGGCGACCCCCGGAAGUGACCAGAAGGCGGAGCGGGACGGGUACGGCUACGUAGGUCCCGCGAGUGACCGGAGACUGGCAAGGAGAGUGGGCGUGCCCAAUACGUUGACGCGGAAACCCUGCCUCGCGUGUAAGUGUGACGUCAGCACCGGUUUAACGUCUCCUUGGUUUUAGAUGAUUCUAUCCCCGUGGCCUGCCUCCAUUUUAAUUGUGUGUGCAGGAGGACGCCGUGGAAGUGGGCGGAGCCAGGAUAUAGACCCACUACGUCUGUCGGGACUGUACCCUCACCUUUAGUAUUGGUUACCAAUUGGUAUUUUUAGUGUUGACAAUUUGACAGUUUUUCAUUUAUAUUGUAAUAAAUUGUGAACGAGUAUAAUCAUCUUUCCUUAUUUUAAGACAGCUGCUCUCACUACAUUGGGUUCUUAAUAUUUAUAUUUGUUUUAAGCAACAUGUUCAUUAGAUUUUAAUGUUUUACCACUCGGGUCCAUCUCACAUUCAAAUAAGUAUAACAUAUAGAACAUGCUGUGUCACGACGCGGAGUCGAACCCGCGUUUCCUCGGCGGCUGGAGGACUCUGUUGACAGUGCAUUCAGACUCGCCCUCACUCGUGCUGAGUGCAGCACGCCCAAGCAGCAACAAGCCUGCAGCCUGUCAAGAAUCAACACACCUGGAUUUGAUGAGAGGGAGCAGCAUAAAAGCCAGCAGACCCGUGGAACCUUUGCCAGAAAGUCGCUAUCUUCUCAUGACUCCCCUGUCUUCCGUGAUCGUAACUUGCCUGUCGACAUCCAUCCGGAUUCCUAGCUGCCUUCCUUGAUCCACGACCUCCCUGCUCGGACCCAGACCACGCUGCCUCGCUCCUGCCCCCGACAUCUUGCCUGCUCACGAACUGCCUCUUCGCCUUGCCCCUCUGGAUUCGACGAAGGAUACAACCAACACUCAGACAACAAACCCUGGUAACAUUUAUAUUAAUAUUACACAUAGUCAUCACUCAUUCACUUGGAGUAGCAUACAAACGCCAUGUAUCAUCAAAGGUUUAAAUAAACCUUGUGAACCGCA